UACAGAGGUCUCAAGCGUUGUUCGGAUUUAUUGGGCGUAAAGAGCUCGUAGGCGGCUCAGUAAGUCGGGUGUGAAACCUCCAGGCUCAACCUGGAGACGCCACCUGAUACUGCUGUGGCUAGAGUCCGGUAGGGGAGCGUGGAAUUCCUGGGUGUAGCGGUGAAAUGCGCAGAUAUCAGGAGGAACACCAAUGGCGAAGGCAGCUCGCUGGGACGUGAGCUGACGCUGGAGACGCGAAAGCGUGGGGAGCAAACAGG
rnacentral:rRNA from 1 species